rnacentral:lncRNA from 1 species
GUUCCCAGGCUGGGGGGUUGAAUCAGAGCUGUAGCCACCAGCCUACACCACAGUCGCAGCAAGGUGGGAUCUGAGCUGCGUCUGCAACCUGCACCACAGGUCAUGGCAACGCUGGAUCCUUAGCCCAUUGAGCAAGGCCAGGGAUCGAACCUGCAACCCCAUGGUUCCUAGUCAGAUUCGUUAACCACUGCGCCACGACGGGAACUCCUGCUUACAUACUCUUUAUGCCUUUUUUUUCUGAAUAAGUGAUGGUUUCACUGUUUAUGGGUUCAUUUUGUCAGUGGGAAAUAAGUGGAAAACUGAUGGAUUUCAUGUUUACAGAAGCAUAAUUUACUCUUUUUAUUGGAUUGUAGUUAGCUUGAUAUUAGGGAUUUUGAGAAAUAAAAUUUAAGUUUGAUCUGCUUACCAGACAGAUAUCUGAUAAAAGUUCUGAUCAUGCUGCCUUUUUUUUUUUCUUUUAAAUUGGAUAUCUUUUUUUUUCUUCUUCUUCUUCUUCUUCUUCUUCUUCUUUUUUUUUUUUUUUUAGGGCCACACCCAUGGCAUAUGGAAGUUUCGAGGCUAGGGGUCUAAUCGGAGCUACAGCUGCUGGCCUACACCACAGCCCCAGCAACACUGGAUCGGAGCUGCAUCUUCGACCCACACCACAGCUCAUGGGAAUGCCAGAUCCUUAACCCACUGAUCGAGGCCAGGGAUCGAAGCUGCAUCCUCAUGGAUCGUAGUCGGUUCAUUAACUGCUGAGCCACAGUGGGAAGUCCGGUUACCUUUUCUUACUAGUGACAGCGUGUAGAUAUGCUUACACUGAAAUCUUAGAGAACUUGUAGUAAAGAAAUUGUUUUUCCUCCUCACAUUUUGUCUUACAGAAAAAGACCCCUCUGAGGAGUGCCUGUAACGGGACUUUUCAAUACUUGUAGUAGGUGGUAGAGAUGCUGGUAAAUAAAGUUGAGCUGCCACGCGCGGUCAGGAAAUCACUGGUUAGUCGUGACUUGGUUUGAGCUUUCACACAUGAUUAAUGGUGUUAUCUUUGGAUUUUGGUAUAAAGUCCAAGGAAGAGGGAAGCAAGUGUUUCACUGCCCUAGGGAGGCUCUUAGGUGUGCAGUGGACAGAGAGAAACUCCUCAUUUCCUUUUCCUGGUCUGAUCCCCGCCUGCUCCUUUCCGGCUGUGUCACCUCCCUUCCUCCAGAGGGCAGGAGAGAGGGGGAUCUGAAGGGCGGGUGGGCAGUGGGGGAAGAGGCCUGGGACCCGGGUCUUCCGGAGGGCCUCCUGGGGGCCUGAGUCGGCUCGGUGCUGAAAGCUGAGGGAUCUCUCAGGGGCUGACCCUCACCGAUGGGGCUGAGAGCUGCCUGUCCCUGUAUCCAGAGCUGCAGGUUUGUGUAAGACACACACAGAUAUUAUGGUCUAAGAUGGGCACUUUAUAUGCAUUUUAAAGAUGAAACCAAGAUACUUCUUCAGAGCUGUAGCCACUGGCCUUCACCACAGCUCACGGCAACACUGGAUCCUUCACCCACUGAGCAAGGCCAGGGAUCGAACCUGAAACCUCAUGGUUCCUCGUCGGAUUCAUUAACCACUGAGCCACAAUGGGAACUCAAAACCAAGAUACUUCUAAAGAGGCUUGGAAGCGCUUUGCGCUGGGGGAGGGCAGAAAUCAGGCUGUCUGCAUCUCAGACCUUCCUCCACAGGAAGCAGGGUGGACUCCAUGUUAAUGUUAUCAGUGACUAUUCGGUGCUUUGCUGUUUUCAUAAGCUCGAAAGUCACAGGGAUGGUGUGCGAUGUUUCCUCUGAUAGCUCCUGGGACAUGGAACACUUUCCUCCUGGCUCUUUUUCAAGGAAAGAUUAAUUGCUGGGAUCAAUUUCACAAAAAGCUAUUCUUUUUGAGAUUCAGUCUUGUAAAAGUCUUCCUAUUCCUUUUACUUUUUUUUUUUUUUUUUUUUUUUUUUGUCUUUUGUCUUUUGUCUUUUUGGGGCCACACUUGAGGCAUAUGGAGGUUCCUAGGUUGAAUCGGAGCUACAGCUGCUGGCCUACACCACAGCCACAGCAACGGGGGAACCACAUCUGUGACCUACACCACAGCUCAGGGCAAUGCUGGUUCUUUAACUCACUGAGUGAGGGCAGGAAUCGAACCUGCAUCCUCAUGGAUACUAGUCGGGUUCAUUACCACUGAGCCACGAUGGGAACUCUCUUCCUUUUAUUCUUACCCUAUCAAUUCUGAGCAGCUGGGAACCCUGAGCCUGGGCUUAUUUCCCAUUAUGCCUGUCUCCUUGAAUUUGGUUGGCUUGCUUCUUUGCUCGCCUCUUGUAAAUAUUUGCGAAUUCAUUACAGUAUUUACUUUUCCUGUGGUUUAAGUUUAGACAAAAGAUUUUGGCAAAAGGUGUGUAGCGUGCUGGAGAAACAUUAAACUAGUAGCUGGGAGUUGGAAAUUUUUAGAUUUUACCAGUUAACAUUUAAUUUUCUGUUGUUAUUCACGACCUCCAAAUUCUUUGCCUUCACUGAAAGCUCAGUGGUUUCAGUGGCAAAUAAAAGUUGUUUUAUCUUCCUUGAUGGCCUAAAAAGUGUUCUUUUUAGGAAGCACCUUAAUUUGUAGGACAUAGAGGGUUUUUGUGUUGCUUCUAAACAAAUUUGGUUCAGUGGUUCAGACAAUGUGAUAUCCACUCGCUGGUCAGCAUGAGCAGAACGGUGAGAACUGUCAUUGUCAGCGGUUAGUGCAAAGGACUGCAGUAAAAGAACAGCCCUCCAGGUAGGAGCUGAGUGCAAUUUAUCUCAGGCUAGAAGAAUACAUUUUCUUUGCAACAGCCUCAAACUCAGACCUGCUCUGUAGAAGAGGUCUUUCAAGAAGAUGAUCACCCAUGAUCCCCCCCCUUUUUUUGGGCCACACCUGGGGCUAGAGGUCACAUUGGAACUACAGGUGCUGGCCUGCACCACAGCCCCAGCAAUGCUGGAUCUGAGCUGCAUCUGCAACUUACACCACAGCCUGUGCCAAUGCUGCAUCCUUAACCCACUGAGCGGGGCCAGGGAUUGAACCCGCAUCCUCAUAGAUACUAGUAGGAUUUGUUUCUGUCGCGCCACAACAGGAACUCCCAUAAUUUUGUUCUUUGACAUUUUCCUGGAUGAGAAAAGAAAAAAAGGCACAGAGAGAUUAAAGACAUAGCUCAAAGCCUCUUUUAGGGAUGUUGAUAAUGAUGACUUCAUCAUGUAUUCGUUCAUGGAGAUACAGAUAUCUUCAUGAUACAGAGACCCUUCCCAUGGAAAUU